AGUCACGAGUUUGAUCCUGGCUCAGAUUGAACGCUGGCGGAAUGCUUUACACAUGCAAGUCGAACGGUAGAGGGGGCAACCCCUUGAGAGUGGCGAACGGGUGAGUAAUAUAUCGGAACGUGCCCAGUCGUGGGGGAUAACGUAGCGAAAGUUACGCUAAUACCGCAUACGAUCUAAGGAUGAAAGCGGGGGGACUCGCAAGAGCCUCGCGCGAUUGGAGCGGCCGAUAUCAGAUUAGGUAGUUGGUGGGGUAAAGGCUCACCAAGCCAACGAUCUGUAGCUGGUCUGAGAGGACGACCAGCCACACUGGAACUGAGACACGGUCCAGACUCCUACGGGAGGCAGCAGUGGGGAAUUUUGGACAAUGGACGCAAGUCUGAUCCAGCCAUUCCGCGUGCAGGAUGAAGGCCCUCGGGUUGUAAACUGCUUUUGUACGGAACGAAAAGGUUUCUAUUAAUACUAGGAGCUCAUGACGGUACCGUAAGAAUAAGCACCGGCUAACUACGUG
rnacentral:rRNA from 1 species